CGAGCAGGCAGAACAGCAGCGUGCGCAGCGCCGAAAGGCCGCGCAUGAGGAAAGUCCGGGCUUCACAGGGCGAGGAUAGCUGCUAACGGCAGCCGGAGGCGACUCUAGGGAAAGUGCAACAGAAAAAAACCGCCGUUUGAACGGCAAGGAUGGAAAGGUGAGGUAAGAGCUCACCAGCGUGCGGGAGACCGCGCGGCUGUGUAAACCCUAUCCGAAGCAACACCGCAAAGGGACCGAUACCGCUUGCCCGGCGGGUCCCGUCCAGGUGGCUUGAACCUUUCGGCGACGAAAGGUCUAGAAAGAUUGCUGUUUUAAACAGAACUCGGCUUACAUGCCUGGUCGCAUA
rnacentral:RNase_P_RNA from 1 species